rnacentral:lncRNA from 1 species
AGAAAUAGUACAAGUCUAAUGGUAUUAACAUGAAUAACUGAUUUGAAAUACAAUAACGCUCAAGAAAUGGUAAUACAGUGUCAUGAGCUCUAAUAAAAAGUACAAGUCUGGAAUACAGAAUAUUGAUACUGUUUGAAUGAAAAUAACAGUACAAAAGGAAAAGAGACACCAAGACUACGGUCGGGAUGCAACUCUACCUCGUCUCUCCAAAAUGCUCACAACAACACCUCACAGCUAGCCACAACUCAGUCCGACACCUGGAUCUGCACAAUUAAGUGCGGAGAGUACUAUGAGUACAAUCGACCCCAUGUACUCAGCAAGUAUCAUAACUAACCUCGGCGAGGUAAUAAAAGUAAGAAUUAUAAUAAUACUCGCUAAUCACCUGUACAAUUCAUAAAUCCAACAAGUACAGAACAACAAUAUGUUGAAGUCAUGAAUCACAGAAAUAACCAUCUUGGUACACACAAUUACUUAAUGUACUCUGCUCAGUCAAAAAUUCAGCAUAUAAAGAAGAUAUGCAAAUAAAGCAUAUAGCAGUCAAGGAAGUCGCAAGUAAAGAUGAAAUGCAACAACCGAAUCAAACACCGACAAACGUUUCCUCAAUAUUACUAUUUCAGUACCAAACCACUUAUCAGUUUUUCUCAACAACCGUGUGUACAUCAUCAAGAAAGAACAUGAGAGGGUGACCCUAGGGGGAUGGAUCCAUAUCCACACGCUGCACGGACAACUCACGUGCUGCACGGACAACUCACGUGGCGCACGGACAACUCACGUGGCGUACGGACAACUCACGUGCUAAUAAUAUCAAUAUCUAGAUCCGCACGGACAACUCACGUACCAAUAAUCGUAAUCCGUCUGGCGUGGUCACAGUCUCAAUAUCACAAUCCGCCCGACGUGGUCACUGGCUACCAGUCCAGAUCAUAUCACACAGAAAGCAAAUAUACAAGAAUACAUGUACAUGAUCAAUAAAUAUCAAGUUUCAUACUCCUUGACUGAUAUAAAUGACAUGCUAAAAUGUAUGCAUGUACAAAGUGUGCUAUCAUAACUCAAUCCGGCAAAUACAUCACGAAAGUAGCAAUUUAUCAUGUUCAAUCGGGAGAGUAACCUCAACGUAACCUCAAAUAUAAUACAAAUAGCUCACAAAAAGGGUACAAAUAGGAGAAACAUCACAGUAUAAAGCUUAGCAAUCAAAUUAAGGCAUAUCAUAGCCUAAGCACUAUCCCAAGCAUGAAAUAUAACCCGGUGGACGCACAUAGGCGUAGCCCACAUAUGUGUGCCACCCAUAGCACGUAACUAUCAUAAAUGAUUCAGGCAACUAGUGCCUCAACCAAGUUUAGGUAAGAUACUUACCUCAAGCAAGCUAAAUCGAAAGCCCUUCCUGCGUGAGACAUCCUCCGGAUGGCUCGAAUCAAUCCAAAACAACUUAAUAUCAUCAAUAAAAGACAUAGGAAACGAUUCUAAAUGCUAAAGCUAAGAUCCUUAAUCAAAAUCAGAAAGUCAACCCUAGGUUUGCAUCAUGGAACACGUCCAAAUUCACAAAUUCCGAAUACCCACUACGAUACGAGUCCUAAAAUAUGUGCUUCAUCUAAUUUCAAUCUCAAAUCGACUCUCCAAUAUCAUAGUCCAAAAAUCCUACCUUAAAAUAUUAUAAAUUAGAUGUAAUAAUCAAUGGAUAAUCAAUAGCUAACUCCAAAAUUAAGUAGAGAUCACUUACCCCUUCAAUUGUGAUGAAAAACACUCAAAAUAUUGCCCUAAACCGAGCUCCACAAUUCAAAAAAUGAGAAAAAUGACCAAACCUUCGCUAUUAAAUUCUGCCCAGCAAAAUCGCACCUGCGGUCCAUAUAUUCGCACCUACGAUGCUGCGUCUGCAGAAAUACCAUCGCAGAUGCGGAAACAACUAAUCCCCCAUCCAUCCGCUUUUGUGGCUCUGCUUCAGCGGAAGCUAUUGCACAUUUACGCUUACGCACCUGCGCCCUGCAGCUCCGCAUCUGCGGACUACCUCCGCCAGCCUCCUCCUCCGCACUUGUGCUCAAACGGCCGCACCUGCAGCUCCGCAUCUGCGGCCAAGCCACCGCAAAUGCGAAAAUGCCAGAAGCCAAACUCUUCAACAGUCCAUUCAAGCCCAAAAAUAGUCCAAACUCAAUUCGAAACACACCCGAGGCUCCAUCUAAUCGCACUUACCAAUCCUAAAGCAUAACACGAACUUACUCAAUGCCUCAAAUCACACCAAACAACAUCAAAAUCACGAAUCGCACCUUACUUCAAGCCUAAGGAAGCUAAUAAACUUUCAACUUCUAAAACCCAUACUGAACCAUACCAAAUCAACUCUGAAUGACCUCAAAUUUUGCAUGCUAGUCCUAAUGACACAACAGACCUAUUCCAACUUUCAGAAUUAAAAUUCGAACCCGAUAUCAAUAAAGUCAACUCUCAGCCAAACCUAUCAACCUUCCAAACCUUCAACUUUCCAACUUUCGCCAAAAAUACCAAACUAACCUACGAACCUCUAAAUCUACAUCCGGACAUACGCCUAAAUCCAAAAUCACCAUACGAAAUUAUUGGAACCCCUCUAUUCCAAAGCCGUCUACACAAAAGUCAAACUCCGGUCAACUCUUACAACUUAAGCUUAUGAAACUACGAACUUUCGAAUUCUAAAACUAAUGCUGAUUCAUACCACAACAACUCUGUUUGACUUCAAACUUUGCAUACAAGUCAUAAAUGACACGACGGACCUAUUCCAACUUUCAAAAUAGGAAUCCCACCCCGAUAUCAAUAAAGUCAACUCCCGAUCAAACUUUCUAAUCUUCCAAACUUCAACUUUCAAACUUUCGCCAAUUCAAGUUAUAACGACCUACAUACCUCCAAAUCAACAUCCGGACACUCUCCUAGGUCCAAAAAUCACCAACAGAGCUAUUGGAACCGUCAAAACUCCAUUCCGAAGAUAUCUGCACAAAAGUCAAACUACGAUCAACUCUUUCAACUUAAAGCUCCAACCUAGGGACUAUAUGUCCCAUUUCACUCCAAAACUCAUCCGAAACCAAAACCAAACACCCCCAAUAAAUCACAUAACCAUAAUUUAACAUAGAUGAGGCAAUAAUUAGGGGAUCGGGGCUAAAAUACUCAAAACGACCGGGCGGGUCGUUACAGCAUUAUACCAAACUCUUUAAUAAAUAAGUUAAAUUCUUUUAAAGGUUCCUAUUUUAAAAUUUUACAUAGCAUUAUGUCAAACACUUAAAUAAAUAAGUUAAGUUCUUUUAAAGGUUUCUAUUUUGAAAUUUAUUUAGCAUUAUGCCAAACACUUUCAAAAUAUAUUAUAUUCUUUCAAAUUAAAAUUCUCCGACACUCAAAAUUCCAUAUUCAUCCUAAAAUCUAUGUCUAUAAUUAUACUAGUUAAAUCUGAUUAUGCGUGUAUGUGUAUAAAGUCCGAAUAUGACUAAUGAAUGAUCAAAUCCACAUAAUUCAUUCUAACCUAGCAAACUAAAUGGGCAAAGCUCCGGCUAAGGAAAGAGAGGCAGAGAUAUGGAGGGUGCUUCUCAUGGUAUGUCGAGUCUUUCAAAAAUACACUAUCUAAGAUGCUUCCAAGGGCGACAUUAAUCACUAAACUAGAUUGGAUACAAAAAAUAAGUAAAGAGAAAAUAAAUUAGAUGUUCUUUAAAUCUAAAUAGAAAAUAGAAAUAUUAGCAAUAAAAUCGAAUUAGGUACUAAAACAAAUAAAGAGAAAAAAAAGUACUUACUACAUUGUCGUUGUUGCCGCCGGAGUCCGCCGAAGAUCUGCCAAGUUCCUCCUGAUUGUCAUUGCAACAUGUAACUGAAAAAGAAUAAAAAAAUAAAAAAAAUAAAGGCAAGGUCAGCGGCGGAGGCUGGAUCUCCACGAAGGAGGUUCGAAAAAAAAAAGAUAGUAGCUAGUGGGAAUUGAUCGUAUGACCUUUCAAAGAUUUUGAACCCCCUUGACCACUGAACUACACUUUUGGGUUGUGUCAAGGGGGUUCAAAACUUAAUAUAUAGAAGUGAAAAAUAGAUUUUGCCUUAUAUUUACAGUGUAAUUUUUCGACGAAAGGAGUUCGGAUGAACCUCUUCCGCCCCUAAAUCCGCCCCGGGGCAAGGUAACAAGCAAAAUGAGCUCUACCGCAUAGAAGAUGGAUGAGAGAGAGGGAGAGAGAGACUAACCAAAAAGAGCUCUGUUGCAAUUUUAGAAGUAGAGAGAGAGUAAGAGAGAGAGAGGAGAGAUAUAGAGAGGGGAAAGA